UUAAAUUGAAGAGUUUGAUCAUGGCUCAGAUUGAACGCUGGCGGCAGGCCUAACACAUGCAAGUCGAACGGUAACAGGAAACAGCUUGCUGUUUCGCUGACGAGUGGCGGACGGGUGAGUAAUGUCUGGGAAGCUGCCUGAUGGAGGGGGAUAACUACUGGAAACGGUAGCUAAUACCGCAUAACGUCGCAAGACCAAAGAGGGGGACCUUCGGGCCUCUUGCCAUCGGAUGUGCCCAGAUGGGAUUAGCUAGUAGGUGGGGUAACGGCUCACCUAGGCGACGAUCCCUAGCUGGUCUGAGAGGAUGACCAGCCACACUGGAACUGAGACACGGUCCAGACUCCUACGGGAGGCAGCAGUGGGGAAUAUUGCACAAUGGGCGCAAGCCUGAUGCAGCCAUGCCGCGUGUAUGAAGAAGGCCUUCGGGUUGUAAAGUACUUUCAGCGGGGAGGAAGGGAGUAAAGUUAAUACCUUUGCUCAUUGACGUUACCCGCAGAAGAAGCACCGGCUAACUCCGUGCCAGCAGCCGCGGUAAUACGGAGGGUGCAAGCGUUAAUCGGAAUUACUGGGCGUAAAGCGCACGCAGGCGGUUUGUUAAGUCAGAUGUGAAAUCCCCGGGCUCAACCUGGGAACUGCAUCUGAUACUGGCAAGCUUGAGUCUCGUAGAGGGGGGUAGAAUUCCAGGUGUAGCGGUGAAAUGCGUAGAGAUCUGGAGGAAUACCGGUGGCGAAGGCGGCCCCCUGGACGAAGACUGACGCUCAGGUGCGAAAGCGUGGGGAGCAAACAGGAUUAGAUACCCUGGUAGUCCACGCCGUAAACGAUGUCGACUUGGAGGUUGUGCCCUUGAGGCGUGGCUUCCGGAGCUAACGCGUUAAGUCGACCGCCUGGGGAGUACGGCCGCAAGGUUAAAACUCAAAUGAAUUGACGGGGGCCCGCACAAGCGGUGGAGCAUGUGGUUUAAUUCGAUGCAACGCGAAGAACCUUACCUGGUCUUGACAUCCACGGAAGUUUUCAGAGAUGAGAAUGUGCCUUCGGGAACCGUGAGACAGGUGCUGCAUGGCUGUCGUCAGCUCGUGUUGUGAAAUGUUGGGUUAAGUCCCGCAACGAGCGCAACCCUUAUCCUUUGUUGCCAGCGGUCCGGCCGGGAACUCAAAGGAGACUGCCAGUGAUAAACUGGAGGAAGGUGGGGAUGACGUCAAGUCAUCAUGGCCCUUACGACCAGGGCUACACACGUGCUACAAUGGCGCAUACAAAGAGAAGCGACCUCGCGAGAGCAAGCGGACCUCAUAAAGUGCGUCGUAGUCCGGAUUGGAGUCUGCAACUCGACUCCAUGAAGUCGGAAUCGCUAGUAAUCGUGGAUCAGAAUGCCACGGUGAAUACGUUCCCGGGCCUUGUACACACCGCCCGUCACACCAUGGGAGUGGGUUGCAAAAGAAGUAGGUAGCUUAACCUUCGGGAGGGCGCUUACCACUUUGUGAUUCAUGACUGGGGUGAAGUCGUAACAAGGUAACCGUAGGGGAACCUGCGGUUGGAUCACCUCCUUACCUUAAAGAA
rnacentral:rRNA from 1 species